rnacentral:rRNA from 1 species
AUUGAACGCUGGCGGCAGGCCUAACACAUGCAAGUCGAGCGGAUGAAGGGAGCUUGCUCCUGGAUUCAGCGGCUGACGGGUGAGUAAUGCCUAGGAAUCUGCCUGGUAGUGGGGGAUAACGUCCGGAAACGGGCGCUAAUACCGCAUACGUCCUGAGGGAGAAAGUGGGGGAUCUUCGGACCUCACGCUAUCAGAUGAGCCUAGGUCGGAUUAGCUAGUUGGUGGGUAAAGGCCUACCAAGGCGACGAUCCGUAACUGGUCUGAGAGGAUGAUCAGUCACACUGGAACUGAGACACGGUCCAGACUCCUACGGGAGGCAGCAGUGGGGAAUAUUGGACAAUGGGCGAAAGCCUGAUCCAGCCAUGCCGCGUGUGUGAAGAAGGUCUUCGGAUUGUAAAGCACUUUAAGUUGGGAGGAAGGGCAGUAAGUUAAUACCUUGCUGUUUUGACGUUACCAACAGAAUAAGCACCGGCUAACUUCGUG